rfam:Conidiobolus coronatus NRRL 28638 unplaced genomic scaffold CONCOscaffold_116, whole genome shotgun sequence.
GUCACUGACACAUGACAAAAUUGGAACGAUACAGAGAAGAUUAGCAUGGCCCCUGCACAAGGAUGACACGUAAAUCUUGAGUGGAUAGCAUCUUAGGAUGCAAAUUUUU